rnacentral:lncRNA from 1 species
CCAGUGCUAGCAGGGCUUUGCGCCCUGAAGCCCUUCGUGUCCUUCCUCUUGAGGGCUGCUGGGUCACAGGUCCUGCUCCUACAAGGAAGACAGAGUUUAGGACAGAGCGGCUCCCUGACUCGGCCCCCAAGGCUCUGUCGCUCUCCUGGCCCAGGAAGGAACCUGUGAGAUGCUAUCGGUCCUGCCUGGUGCUCAGAGCCAGGCUGAGGACAGGAAGGAAGCUGCCUGCCGUGUGUCCCCAUCUGUCCCCUAUCUACAGCUCAGGCGCACAGGGAUUCCCUGCAUCGAUGCUCCAUGAGAAAGGAACCCGGAGGACCUCGGCUCUCAGUGUGUCCCAGAGGGGCACCGGCUGACCAGCUCCUCAUUCCUGGAGGGUAGGUGGAAGGUGCCGCACAAGUGGGCCUGGAGUACCUGCUUCCCAGGCACAUGGUCUGCAGUGCUCCACCGCAGGUGUAGAGGCUGCCCUGUCCGGGCCUGGCCCUUGGGGUUCCAGCCGUGGAGUCUGGGUUGAGGAUCACAGUUGUCCCUUGGUGGAAGAAGAGAGCAUCUUACACCACUUCUUGCAGGACCUCC